rnacentral:rRNA from 1 species
AACUUGAGAGUUUGAUCAUGGCUCAGAACGUACGCUGGCGGCACGCCUAACACAUGCAAGUCGAACGAAGUAGCAAUACUUAGUGGCAGACGGGUGAGUAACAUGUAGGUAUCUGCCCUUUGGCCUGGAAUAACACGAGGAAACUUGUGCUAAUACCGGAUAAGUCUUUACGGAGAAAGCUUUAUGCACCAUUGGAUGAGCCUGCACUUGAUUAGUUUGUUGGUGGGGUAAUGGCCUACCAAGACUGUGAUCAAUAGCUGAUUUGAGAGGAUGAUCAGCCACAUUGGGACUGAGACACGGCCCAAACUCCUACGGGAGGCAGCAGUGGGGAAUCUUGCACAAUGGAGGAAACUCUGAUGCAGCGAUGCCGCGUGAGUGAAGAAGGCCCUUGGGUUGUAAAGCUCUUUCGUCGGGGAAGAAAAUGACUGUACCCGAAUAAGAAGGUCCGGCUAACUUCGUGCCAGCAGCCGCGGUAAUACGAAGGGACCUAGCGUAGUUCGGAAUUACUGGGCUUAAAGAGUUCGUAGGUGGUUGAAAAAGUUAGUGGUGAAAUCCCAGAGCUUAACUCUGGAACUGCCAUUAAAACUUUUCAGCUAGAGUAUGAUAGAGGAAAGCAGAAUUUCUAGUGUAGAGGUGAAAUUCGUAGAUAUUAGAAAGAAUACCAAUUGCGAAGGCAGCUUUCUGGAUCAUUACUGACACUGAGGAACGAAAGCAUGGGUAGCGAAGAGGAUUAGAUACCCUCGUAGUCCAUGCCGUAAACGAUGUGUGUUAGACGUUGGAAAUUUAUUUUCAGUGUCGCAGGGAAACCGAUAAACACACCGCCUGGGGAGUACGACCGCAAGGUUAAAACUCAAAUGAAUUGACGGGGACCCGCACAAGUAGUGGAGCAUGUGGUUUAAUUCGAAGAUACGCGCAGAACCUUACCAACACUUGACAUGUUCGUCGCGACUCUAAGAGAUUAGAGUUUUCGGUUCGGCCGGACGAAACACAGGUGCUGCAUGGCUGUCGUCAGCUCGUGUCGUGAGAUGUUGGGUUAAGUCCCGCAACGAGCGCAACCCUCACUUUUAGUUGCCAUCAUUAAGUUGGGCACUCUGAAAGAACUGCCAGUGAUAAGCUGGAGGAAGGUGGGGAUGACGUCAAGUCCUCAUGGCCCUUACGUGUUGGGCUACACACGUGCUACAAUGGUAUCUACAACAGGAAGCAAGACUGCGAAGUUAAGCAAAUCCCUAAAAGAUACCUCAGUUCGGAUUGCACUCUGCAACUCGAGUGCAUGAAGCUGGAAUUACUAGUAAUCGUGGAUCAGCGUGCCACGGUGAAUGCGUUCCCGGGUCUUGUACACACCGCCCGUCACACCAUGGGAGUUGGUUCUACCUUAAGGCAAGGUUUUAAACCCUUGACCACGGUAUAGUCAGCGACUGGGGUGAAGUCGUAACAAGGUAGCCGUAGGGGAACCUGCGGCUGGAUUACCUCCUUUCUAA